UCAUUUUGUUGAAAUAAAAAGACAAAACAAAAGAAAAGAAACUGUAAAAUAUUCUGGAACAAAAUAACACAAUGUGGUGUUCAGUUGGGCACAGGGGGCUCGAUUCAUUAGCUAGAAGAUCCUGUUAGAAUUCUGCAGGAUUUUGAUUUAUUGGCCAAAGAGAAAUAGUUUUUAAAUUUUUCACCAUCUUUCUUCAUUGCUACUAUGCUCUGCCCACCUGAAAGCACUUGGCUUCCUCUUGAACUAGACAAGAGUUUAGAAAGAAUGUUCAAGUAAGCAAUAGGAAAGAUUUUUUCUUGGAAUAUGGUUAAGAGGACAAUGUUCUAAGCAAUAGUAUUACAAUGGUUUUUUUGGCAGGAGUACAUACUUUUCAAUUUGAGAUUAUUAAGGAGCCCUCUGUUAUAUAAAUUAUGUACAUUGGAUUCCUUGGUUCUGAGACAAGUUCAUGUUAACUGAUAGGUCCGUAGUUGAGACAGAAGAAUGAUCAACUUUAAAAUUAAAGCCGCUACCAGAAAAAGGGUUGAAUGGUAGAGAGAAAGAGAUCACUUCAUGGCACUAAGUGACAAUUCAAAAAGACAGAUAAAUUAUUGAAAAGAGGACAUUCUGCAGAGUUCAGCACUCACCAGAGUCUAGAAAGGACACAUCCUGGGUAGAGAGGCCAUAAAGUUUGGAAGAGAGAAAGCAUUCCGUGAGAAGGGAGCGGACUGAAGGGCAGAGAGCUGCUGAGAAAGCUCUUAGGGCAGGUUAGAGACUAGGAGAGGCCAGGAGAGCUCUGUCAAAUGAUUAUAAAUUUUUUCUUCAACUACAAAGUCUGAUUUCACCCAGUGCUGACAGAUGAGGCUGAGUUCUCGCUAUAUCUAAAAGAGCAGGCAGUGAAGAGCUUGGCCUGAGGAAUCGAGCCCUGUGUGCUUUCCUCUAGGACUCCACUCCCCAACUUCGAACAUCGAAUUAAAAUGAAAGGUAAUUAUGCACGAUUUGAUUAUCCAACCAAACCCAGCCCAUACAAAUUAACUUACUCAGCUUACUCAGUUAUACUUUUUCACAAAGUAUAAAUGUUCCUUACAUCAAAGGAAACCCAGUAACCACCAGACUACUGUAAAACAAUUCAGAGCAUACAGGAGUUGCUUGAAGCUCAUCUACUUUAAAUGUGCACACUGCUAAGAAGAAACAGAACGAGAAAUGUCUAACAGAAGCAGAAGAAUCACAGAGGGCUUCCUCUACCCACAGAAAUGACAUUAAGUUAAAGCAAGGCUGCAUGACAUCACAGCUAAUACCCACUUGAGUAAUACUUACAGCGAAAGUGCUGCCAGUCUGGAGGAAAAGGACCCUGUGUUUCCAAAUUACUGACUCUUACAAGUGUGCUGGUUUCUCCAACUUGUACUGCAACUGUUCUGUGAACAUUCUUCAUUUCUCUGGAGAAAGACUCUGCAUGGAACACUUCCUCUAACCAGUGGAAAAGUGAUAGAAACAGAUGCUCAAUACCAGCAGUGCAUAAAAGUAAUAGCACCACCCUCCACUGUGAAGUGAAAAGGCCUCUCGGCUUGAUCUUUAUGCUAUGGAAAAACCUUCCUCAGAGAGUCACCUUUCAGAAGACAUUCAUCCCAUCCUUUCACAGACUUUUGAAAAGAAAAAGAAACCCAACCUUCCAUCUAGCCUCUUUACCUCUCCCAAUUAGAAAUGCUCCAGUUUUGACAAUAGAAAUAGGAGUUGGAAGAAAGGAGAAAACUAUGGAGGAAAAAAAGACAUUCUGAAGUGGUAAAUCAAGAACAAAACUAUGGUAUCUACAAUGGAGAGGCUUGAUUGUCUUGUACAAAUGAGGAGCUAAAAACUGCAGUGAAGUCUCAUGCAAUUGUCUGGUAGGCAAGUCUAAGAAAGCAUUAGCAAGGCCAGUGGAGCAGAAGUUUUCCAUUUCAUAAACAGAAUCUGUAUAAAUAAAUAUGUACAUGAAAAUGACUGCUUUAUUGGGAUGUAUUUGUCAAAUUAAACAAGAUUUUCUUUUGAGAGGGAAAGAGGGUCUUGCUAUGCUGCCCUAGCUUUCUUCUAACUCCUGAGCUCAAGUAACCCUCCCAUAUCAGGCUCCCAUAUACCUGGGUCUAUAGGCAAAUGGCACUGUGCCGAGCUAAACAAGAUCCAUUUCACAGAUACAAUCAAAAUAAAGUGAGUGAAAACAUUAAAAGUUGGAACUCUGCUUGAAAACUAUGGAUUCCUCUAUAAGUAAAGUUAUCAAAUGAUGAUGCAUUUUGUUAUUUUCCAUGACAGCCUCAUUGACUUCCACUUUGGAUCAUGAUGGCUGAUAUAAAAUAAUUUUCAGUUAUGUAUUUUGAUAUUUCAAGUGAUUAUCAAAAAAAGCAAAAAUUGGGCUGGGAUUGUGGUUCAGUAGUUGAGCUCUUGCUCUGGGUUUGAUCCUUACUGUAAGAAAAAAAAUGCCUGAAAAUUUAGUUUAAUAAAAAUGUUUUUCUUCUUACA